rnacentral:rRNA from 1 species
UACAGAGGGGGCAAGCGUUGUUCGGAAUUACUGGGCGUAAAGGGCGCGUAGGCGGCCUUCUAAGUCGAACGUGAAAUCCCCGGGCUCAACCCGGGAACUGCGUCCGAUACUGGAAGGCUUGAAUCCGGGAGAGGGAUGCGGAAUUCCAGGUGUAGCGGUGAAAUGCGUAGAUAUCUGGAGGAACACCGGUGGCGAAGGCGGCAUCCUGGACCGGUAUUGACGCUGAGGCGCGAAAGCCAGGGGAGCAACGGG